rnacentral:rRNA from 1 species
AUUGAACGCUGGCGGCAGGCCUAACACAUGCAAGUCGAGCGGUUGAAGGGAGCUUGCUCCCUGAUUCAGCGGCGGACGGGUGAGUAAUGCCUAGGAAUCUGCCUAUUAGUGGGGGACAACGUUUCGAAAGGAACGCUAAUACCGCAUACGUCCUACGGGAGAAAGCAGGGGACCUUCGGGCCUUGCGCUAAUAGAUGAGCCUAGGUCGGAUUAGCUAGUUGGUGAGGUAAUGGCUCACCAAGGCGACGAUCCGUAACUGGUCUGAGAGGAUGAUCAGUCACACUGGAACUGAGACACGGUCCAGACUCCUACGGGAGGCAGCAGUGGGGAAUAUUGGACAAUGGGCGAAAGCCUGAUCCAGCCGUGCCGCGUGUGUGAAGAAGGUCUUCGGAUUGUAAAGCACUUUAAGUUGGGAGGAAGGGUUGUAGAUUAAUACUCUGCAAUUUUGACGUUACCGACAGAAUAAGCACCGGCUAACUCUGUGCCAGCCGCCGCAGUAAGAC